rnacentral:tRNA from 1 species
GAAAUAAGAUAAACAAAGAAAGGCUUCUAACCUUAACUUUUAGCAGUGAAAAUCUGUUAUUAUUUCU